GAUCCUGGCUCAGGAUGAACGCUAGCUACAGGCUUAACACAUGCAAGUCGAGGGCAGCAUUCUGAUAGCUUGCUAUCAGUGAUGGCGACCGGCGCACGGGUGAGUAACGCGUAUCCAACCUGCCUGUCACUCAGGAAUAGCCCGGUGAAAACCGGAUUAAGUCCUGAUGAUAUCAUUAGAGGGCAUCUGACGAUGAUUAAGGGUUACGGUGACGGAUGGGGAUGCGUCUGAUUAGCUUGUUGGCGGGUAACGGCCCACCAAGGCAACGAUCAGUAGGGGUUCUGAGAGGAAGGUCCCCCACAUUGGAACUGAGACACGGUCCAAACUCCUACGGGAGGCAGCAGUGGGGAAUAUUGGGCAAUGGGCGCAAGCCUGACCCAGCAAUGCCGCGUGAAGGAAGAAGGCUUUCGGGUUGUAAACUGCUUUAGACAGGGAAGAUACAAGACAGUACCUGUAGAAUAAGCUCCGGCUAACUACGUG
rnacentral:rRNA from 1 species